rnacentral:snoRNA from 19 species
CUGAUGGAAGCGAUUGCAGACCAUCAAUUUAUAAACCUGUCAGUGGAGAAUAAAAUGCCCCUGCGCGAGGACCCCGGGGAGAAUGAACCGGGGGGCGAUGCGGGGGCAACAGCCCGGCCUCAGCGAGGUCCCCGCGGGAGGGCCUUCCGCGUCCCGGAGCACGAUGACCGCGGGAAACCCAGGCCGGGCACAGUUCUGGCCCGCCAGGGUUAGCCCGCCCAAGGGUGGCGUACGCCUUCGAUGAGGGCGGGAGUUACCGGCGGGCCAUAUUCUC